rnacentral:rRNA from 1 species
GAUGAACGCUGGCGGCGUGCCUAAUACAUGCAAGUCGAGCGAACGGACGAGAAGCUUGCUUCUCUGAUGUUAGCGGCGGACGGGUGAGUAACACGUGGAUAACCUACCUAUAAGACUGGGAAAACUUCGGGAAACCGGAGCUAAUACCGGAUGAUAUUUUGAACCGCAUGGUUCAAAAGUGAAAGACGGUCUUGCUGUCACUUAUAGAUGGAUCCGCGCUGCAUUAGCUAGUUGGUAAGGUAACGGCUUACCAAGGCAACGAUGCAUAGCCGACCUGAGAGGGUGAUCGGCCACACUGGAACUGAGACACGGUCCAGACUCCUACGGGAGGCAGCAGUAGGGAAUCUUCCGCAAUGGGCGAAAGCCUGACGGAGCAACGCCGCGUGAGUGAUGAAGGUCUUCGGAUCGUAAAACUCUGUUAUUAGGGAAGAACAUAUGUGUAAGUAACUGUGCACAUCUUGACGGUACCUAAUCAGAAAGCCACGGCUAACUACGUG